rnacentral:lncRNA from 1 species
CUACCUGCAGGGAUUCCUCCCCGUGGAUGGCCCUGGGGAGUCCUCUCUGGUCUUGUAGCACGGUUGGGUACACAUUUCUGGAAGAGUCACAGCUGGAAGAGGAGGUCGCCGCUUGUGUUCAGUCUACCAUCUUGAAAUGGAGAGUAUUCAUUGAAAAGUCAAGAAAAAUGUCUCCGUCUUUCCUCCGGCUCCCCCUUCCUCCCAUUCCUUCUUCUUUUUCCUUAUUUUUUGGGGGGCGCAUAGUGGGGAUCAAACUCCAGGCAUUUUACCACAUCCCCAGCCCUAUUUUGUAUUUUUUUUUUUUUAUUUAGAGACAGGGUCUACACUGAGUUCCUUAGGGCCUCACUGAGUUGCUGAGGCUGGCUUUGAACUUGGGAUCCUCCUGCCUCAGCCUCCUGCACCACUGGGAUGAGAGGCAUGGGCCACUUCACCCGGCCCACUCCUUGUUUUGUACCAAGGUAGAGGCUGUGAGUUGAAGUGAGGCAGAGGAAAGAUCUGGAAAACUUGCAGGGAUGAAGUAAGAUGAGAGUCAAGACAAGAGCACUUGAGCUGUCAGCCAGCGUGUGAUUUUCUGGACCUGCUGCACACGGUGUAUCUAUAUUUGUUUUCUCAUUUUAAAAUGUUAGUUUUAUAAAAAUUAACACUGUAGGUUGGUUUCAGCCUCAAUGAUACGUGAUCCCAUGAAAAAUCCUCUUUAUCUUCACGAUGAUGUCUUCAUGUUCAGCUGUUAGAAUUAUACAUCUCUAGGUUUGUAGUGGGAAAUGGGGGUCAGGACACCAAGAUCUGGAAGCAACCCUCUAUUAGUUGUGCCAUGACCUAGAGGGAUAAUUCCCAAAGUCUGAGCCCCGAGCACAGCAGGGCUUUUGCUUUUAUACAUAAGCAAGUUUGGGGCACAUCAAGGCAAGGGAGUUGGAGCAAUUCUAUUGGAGGGUGCAUUUGACAUUCCUUAUUUGGGUCCUAGUUCCUCAAUAGCCUGGGGACCCUAAGCUCAUACCGCUUAGGGACUUCUGAAGUUAAAGCAAAGAAGGCGGAACAUUCUAGAACUGCUGUGAGAGUUUGUAGCUUAAAUUUCUGCAUCUUGUCCCACUCCCCAUGAUAUACAACAGCCCAGCUAGAACCAAAUUAGAAAAUUGAUUUAUAAAAAAAAUGGCAGCACUUUGGUCCUCCACAGCUCAGCCAAUCCCCUUUGGAUAUUUCUGUCUCUGUGAUUUCCAAUCUUUCUGCUAAUGAACGUGGCGAGGCUGUGCUCUGGAAUGACUAGAAAUGCUGUGGCGUAGGCACUGUGGUCUGACAGAGCCUCCCCAUCCCACCUGCAGAACAGGAACUCCCCCUCCCCAGCCCCGUGGGGUAGCUGCAUCUCACUUCCUGGCCUGCGCAGGCCUGACCCAUCUUUGAGCAGAAGCACAGCAGAAAAGCAGGAGUCCCAUGUCACCUUCUAAGCCGUUUCCUUAUUUACAUGUCACUGUGAUCAGCAAUUCCCAGGACAACACAAUCAGCCAUCUUACCCAGGCCAAUAAACAAAGACAAUAAUAAAUAAAUAAAUAAUCCUUCUCAGGGUCCCUUUCUCAAGGUCCUUCUCCCAGGACGACUUUCAUCUGUCCAGAAGCAAACUUUAAGCACAAAGAUAAGGAUGUUGUUUGUCUCCGCCCGGGUUCCUGGGCAGUAUACAUGUUUGAUCUGCCAAAACUUUGAAAAGGAAGUAGACUGAACUGAGUUUCCCCAGAACUGUAUUCCACGGCAUGUCCGGCUCCUCGCAGGGCUUGUGGAAGUUCCACUGUCACUGGCCUCUGCAAUCCGAGCAAGGAGACAGCUGCAAAAAGCAUCUUCUAGCCAAAACGUGAUUUGGGAAAGGUCAUUUUAUUACAUGAUUUAUUUAUACUGUUUCUUCAUGGUACAAAGCGUUCUGAUGUGUACACAGAGUCCAGAGAAAGAGAAGAAAAAUUUUAAGAAAACCUCCAGGCCUACAACUCAGAGGCACCAGAGAGUCCAUGGAGAUAUUUGGGGUAGAUUCUGAAAGUUGGGUUAAGUUUUUUCAAUUAUAGCUUCUUUGAAUCCAUCAAAUUCAAAAGGCAGUUCUAUAUGAUAAGAUCGAUCUUCUACCAGAUCCUGGGAGGCUUCAUCAGUGAGAAACAGGAUUAGAAGUAGGGCUUGCUUUUAUACUCAGCAAAAACAAUCAAGAUAUUCUUCCCCUUUCAGAAAAGAAACAAAAGGCAGCUUCAUCAAAUUUCCAAUGGUUUAUCUUUUUUGGAUGGUAUGUUGCCAUUUUAAAGGAUUUAGGUUUUCUCUUCUGGAAUUCUCUUCCCCAAAGAGGCAUGUUAGCUAUAUAUUCAGCAAGAUUACAAUAUUUAAUAUGGAAAGUUGAAUGUCUGUGUAAAUGAAAACAGAUGGACAGUUUUGUUUAUCUUCUCUUGGCUUUAUCAUUGUGUAGUAAGCACGUGGGUGGGAUUUUAAAGUCCAAGUCUGUGAUGGUGACAGGGAGAACAUACUAGUAAAUACUUCUUGGACCAUAUAUUUCAUGUGACCUCUCCCUGAUGUGAAGUCCCAGUUAAAUGGGUUGAGUUUUUUGA